UGCAAGCCGAGCGGUAGAGUCUCUUCGGGGACUUGAGAGCGGCGCACGGGUGCGGAACACGUGUGCAACCUGCCUUUAUCUGGGGGAUAGCCUUUCGAAAGGAAGAUUAAUACCCCAUAAUAUACUGGAUGGCAUCAUCUGGUAUUGAAAACUCCGGUGGAUAGAGAUGGGCACGCGCAAGAUUAGAUAGUUGGUGAGGUAACGGCUCACCAAGUCAGCGAUCUUUAGGGGGCCUGAGAGGGUGAUCCCCCACACUGGUACUGAGACACGGACCAGACUCCUACGGGAGGCAGCAGUGAGGAAUAUUGGACAAUGGGUGAGAGCCUGAUCCAGCCAUCCCGCGUGAAGGACGACGGCCCUAUGGGUUGUAAACUUCUUUUGUAUAGGGAUAAACCUAGAUACGUGUAUCUAGCUGAAGGUACUAUACGAAUAAGCACCGGCUAACUCCGUGCCAGCAGCCGCGGUAAUACGGAGGGUGCAAGCGUUAUCCGGAUUUAUUGGGUUUAAAGGGUCCGUAGGCUGAUCUGUAAGUCAGUGGUGAAAUCUCACAGCUUAACUGUGAAACUGCCAUUGAUACUGCAGGUCUUGAGUGUUGUUGAAGUAGCUGGAAUAAGUAGUGUAGCGGUGAAAUGCAUAGAUAUUACUUAGAACACCAAUUGCGAAGGCAGGUUACUAAGCAACAACUGACGCUGAUGGACGAAAGCGUGGGGAGCGAACAGGAUUAGAUACCCUGGUAGUCCACGCCGUAAACGAUGCUAACUCGUUUUUGGGUUUUCGGAUUCAGAGACUAAGCGAAAGUGAUAAGUUAGCCACCUGGGGAGUACGAACGCAAGUUUGAAACUCAAAGGAAUUGACGGGGGCCCGCACAAGCGGUGGAUUAUGUGGUUUAAUUCGAUGAUACGCGAGGAACCUUACCAAGGCUUAAAUGGGAAAUGACAGGUUUAGAAAUAGACUUUUCUUCGGACAUUUUUCAAGGUGCUGCAUGGUUGUCGUCAGCUCGUGCCGUGAGGUGUUAGGUUAAGUCCUGCAACGAGCGCAACCCCUGUCACUAGUUGCCAUCAUUAAGUUGGGGACUCUAGUGAGACUGCCUACGCAAGUAGAGAGGAAGGUGGGGAUGACGUCAAAUCAUCACGGCCCUUACGCCUUGGGCCACACACGUAAUACAAUGGCCGGUACAGAGGGCAGCUACACAGCGAUGUGAUGCAAAUCUCGAAAGCCGGUCUCAGUUCGGAUUGGAGUCUGCAACUCGACUCUAUGAAGCUGGAAUCGCUAGUAAUCGCGCAUCAGCCAUGGCGCGGUGAAUACGUUCCCGGGCCUUGUACACACCGCCCGUCAAGCCAUGGAAGUCUGGGGUACCUGAAGUCGGUGACCGUAACA
rnacentral:rRNA from 1 species